GACGAACGCUGGCGGCGUGCUUAACACAUGCCAGUCGAACGGAAAGGCCCUGCUUUUGUGGGGUGCUCGAGUGGCGAACGGGUGAGUAACACGUGAGUAACCUGCCCUUGACUUUGGGAUAACUUCAGGAAACUGGGGCUAAUACCGGAUAGGAGCUCCUGCUGCAUGGUGGGGGUUGGAAAGUUUCGGCGGUUCGGGAUGGACUCGCGGCUUAUCAGCUUGUUGGUGGGGUAGUGGCUUACCAAGGCUUUGACGGGUAGCCGGCCUGAGAGGGUGACCGGCCACAUUGGGACUGAGAUACGGCCCAGACUCCUACGGGAGGCAGCAGUGGGGAAUAUUGCACAAUGGGCGGAAGCCUGAUGCAGCAACGCCGCGUGCGGGAUGACGGCCUUCGGGUUGUAAACCGCUUUCGCCUGUGACGAAGCGUGAGUGACGGUAAUGGGUAAAGAAGCACCGGCUAACUACGUG
rnacentral:rRNA from 1 species